AAAGUCGUAACAAGGUUUCCGUAGGUGAACCUGCGGAAGGAUCAUUACAAAUCCAACGUCUCCUCUUUGAGACACCGUUGAAACAACGUGACGUGACGGGGAGGCUGGCCUGCUUGUCUCACGACAACACCGUCAUGCCCCACCUGUCAUCGUUUACAACCCAGAAAUCGUUGAUCAUUUGUAUGCUUCUUAACAAAGAAACAACUUAUACCAAUGGAUCUCUAGGCUCUU
rnacentral:misc_RNA from 1 species